rnacentral:rRNA from 1 species
AACGCUAGCUACAGGCUUAACACAUGCAAGUCGAGGGGAAACGAUAGAGAAAGCUUGCUUUUUCUAGGCGUCGACCGGCGCACGGGUGAGUAACGCGUAUCCAACCUGCCCACCACUUGGGGAUAACCUUGCGAAAGUAAGACUAAUACCCAAUGACGUCUCUAGAAGACAUCUGAAAGGGAUUAAAGAUUUAUCGGUGAUGGAUGGGGAUGCGUCUGAUUAGCUUGUUGGCGGGGUAACGGCCCACCAAGGCUACGAUCAGUAGGGGUUCUGAGAGGAAGGUCCCCCACAUUGGAACUGAGACACGGUCCAAACUCCUACGGGAGGCAGCAGUGAGGAAUAUUGGUCAAUGGGCGAGAGCCUGAACCAGCCAAGUAGCGUGCAGGAUGACGGCCCUAUGGGUUGUAAACUGCUUUUAUAAGGGAAUAAAGUGAGCCUCGUGAGGCUUUUUGCAUGUACCUUAUGAAUAAGGACCGGCUAAUUCCGUGCCAGCAGCCGCGGUAAUACGGAAGGUCCGGGCGUUAUCCGGAUUUAUUGGGUUUAAAGGGAGCGUAGGCCGGAGAUUAAGCGUGUUGUGAAAUGUAGGUGCUCAACAUCUGCACUGCAGCGCGAACUGGUUUCCUUGAGUACGCACAAAGUGGGCGGAAUUCGUGGUGUAGCGGUGAAAUGCUUAUAUAUCACGAAGAACUCCGAUUG